rnacentral:rRNA from 1 species
UGCGGCCGUACUCCCCAGGCGGGGUGCUUAUCGCGUUACGUUCGGCACGAAGGGCCAAACGCCCCUCACACCUAGCACCCAUCGUUUACGGCGUGGACUACCAGGGUAUCUAAUCCUGUUUGCUCCCCACGCUUUCGCGCCUCAGCGUCAGGUACAGGCCAGGGAGCCGCCUUCGCCACUGGUGUUCCUCCCGAUCUCUACGCAUUUCACCGCUACACCGGGAAUUCCACUCCCCUCUCCUGCCCUCAAGCCCCCCAGUUUCCAGUGGCCUCCCGCGGUUGAGCCGCGGGCUUUCACACCGGACUUAAGGGGCCGCCUACGCGCGCUUUACGCCCAGUAAUUCCGGACAACG